AUGUCAAAACUGAUUUUGUAAUAGUCAGGACAGGCUAAACAUUUGCUGUGUUAAGACCAAGCAUGUGUCCCUAGACUUAGUUCUUUCCCUAGGUCUGGUUUUAUAAAUACUGGUGAUAAAC
ensembl:snoRNA SNORA72 Small nucleolar RNA SNORA72